rnacentral:rRNA from 1 species
ACAUCCAGCGAACUUGGCAGAGAUGCCUUGGUGCCUUCGGGAACGCUGAGACAGGUGCUGCAUGGCUGUCGUCAGCUCGUGUUGUGAAAUGUUGGGUUAAGUCCCGNAACGAGCGCAACCCUUAUCCUUUGUUGCCAGCGAUUCGGUCGGGAACUCAAAGGAGACUGCCGGUGAUAAACCGGAGGAAGGUGGGGAUGACGUCAAGUCAUCAUGGCCCUUACGAGUAGGGCUACACACGUGCUACAAUGGCGCAUACAAAGAGAAGCGACCUCGCGAGAGCAAGCGGACCUCAUAAAGUGCGUCGUAGUCCGGAUCGGAGUCUGCAACUCGACUCCGUGAAGUCGGAAUCGCUAGUAAUCGUGGAUCAGAAUGCCACGGUGAACACGUUCCCGGGCCUUGUACACACCGCCCGUCACACCAUGGGAGUGGGUUGCAAAAGAAGUAGGUAGCUUAACCUUCGGGAGGGCGCUUACCACUUUGUGAUUCAUGACUGGGGUGAAGUCGUAACAAGGUAAGCGUAGCGAG